AGUGAACGCUGGCGGCGUGCCUAAUACAUGCAAGUCGAACGAACGAAUAAGAGCUUGCUCUUAUAAGUUAGUGGCGCACGGGUGAGUAAUCUAUAGCUAAUCUGCCUCUUAGUAGAGGAUAACAGUCGGAAACGAUUGCUAAUACUCUAUACUUCUGCUUUACAUAAGUAAAGUAGAGAAAGUUUUUCGCUAAGAGAUGAGGCUAUACUGUAUCAGCUAGUUGGUAAGGUAACGGCUUACCAAGGCUAUGACGCAUAACUGGUCUGAGAGGAUGAUCAGUCACAUUGGAACUGAGACACGGUCCAAACUCCUACGGGAGGCAGCAGUAGGGAAUAUUGCGCAAUGGGGGAAACCCUGACGCAGCAACGCCGCGUGGAGGAGGACACUUUUCGGAGCGUAAACUCCUUUUAUCGGGAAAGAAUAAUGACGGUACCCGAUGAAUAAGCACCGGCUAACUCCGUG
rnacentral:rRNA from 1 species